rnacentral:lncRNA from 1 species
AAGCGGAUACUUGAAACUCAAUUAUUUCAACCUUUUAAUAAUAAGGAAAUAACUUUGCUAUGUGUAGUGAAGUGACGCUCUGCAAAGCGAAGAAUAUAUUAUUUGAGUAAGAGGAGAGAGAUCUCGACUCAAUCGAUCAAAAUUGCUCGAAUAAAUUUCUACGAGUAAUGGAUUUGAUGACAUAGAAGUUCCUCUCCAUGAUACGUUAAUCUUGUAAUUAUACUGUAAUGGUUCAUGGUAGAUACAAAAAAAUUGUAGUGCUUUACUCAAUGAGAUGUGAUCACCCCUUGCCUUAUCCAUUAGUCCACAGAUCGACUCUGAGUCCCCCAUAAUACUUCAUAAAACAAACUCACAAUCUCCUCGGGAUAAUGAGCCCUUCCUUUUACUUUCAUGAUCAUCCAAAGUACCAAUUGUUCAAAUAUCUCGAAAAGUCGAGAUCCUUCUCCUUCUACUCCAAUAAUAUAUUCCUUAUAAUAUAAUUUUCUUAUUAUUAAAAACAUGCAAUAGUUGAAUUUCAAUUAUCAACAGUCGCACAUCCAAUUUCGAGAUAGAAAGUGACAAUAUGACUUGCUGGCAAAUUUAUACAAUAGACCACGAUGAUAUAUUAAAGAAUGAACAAAGAAGAACGACUGCACCAACUGUUUUUUGUUUAAAUCUUAAAACAUUAUUUCCCUCGACUUUUUUUUCUACUUAUGAUUAAAUAACCGUCCGUCAGUAACAAGGGGUUAAUUAAUCAUAAAUAAUGAGUGUUAACAUAAUGAUACACUCCAUUGCAAUUUGUCAAUUUCAUACAUGUUUGUAUGUAAUCAUAUUUCAUGUAUGUCCAAUAUUGUAUAUCCUCAUUAAACAUCACAAUUAUUGAUUAACAGUUGAAGAUGUAUUAAACAUAUCAAAUUUA